rnacentral:rRNA from 1 species
UACGUAGGGACCAAGCGUUGUCCGGAUUCAUUGGGCGUAAAGAGCGUGUAGGCGGCCAGGUAGGUCGGUUGUGAAAACUGGAGGCUCAACCUUCAGAGGUCGACCGAAACCAUCUGGCUAGAGUCCGGGAGAGGAGAGUGGAAUUCCUGGUGUAGCGGUGAAAUGCGCAGAUAUCAGGAAGAACACCCGUGGCGAAAGCGGCUCUCUGGAACGGUACUGACGCUGAGACGCGAAAGCGUGGGGAGCGAACAGG